rnacentral:rRNA from 1 species
GACGUAGGGCGCGAGCGUUGUCCGGAUUUAUUGGGCGUAAAGAGCUCGUAGGCGGCUUGUCGCGUCGACUGUGAAAUCCCGCGGCUCAACUGCGGGUCUGCAGUCGAUACGGGCAGGCUAGAGUUCGGUAGGGGAGACGUGGAAUUCCUGGUGUAGCGGUGAAAUGCGCAGAUAUCAGGAGGAACACCGAUGGCGAAGGCAGGUCUCUGGGCCGAUACUGACGCUGAGGAGCGAAAGCGUGGGGAGCGAACAGG